CUCCUCCUUUACUUUUGAACCACUGGACCAAUUUGUAUGAUUUUGACAUAUGUUUGUAUUUUGAGUAUGCUGAUUCUGAAAAUGUAAGUUGUGUGAAUGUGAUGUAUACUUUUAAAGUUAUGGAUAUUGUGUAAAACUGUAUUUUCCUGCCUGUGAUAAUUAUGUUAGCCCAUUGUGUUCAGUAAUUAUAUCACAGACAGAGGGGAGGAUUUUGCUGUAAUGACUGGGUGUGUCAGACAUUGUUGUAUUGUUUUGAUUGGUUUGUGUCCUUUGUGUGCCAGUGUUCCAUCAGAUCUAGGUCCUACGGUAUUUGGUCACCAAGGAAUGGAACCUGGAGUGGGAUUACCUGCGACUCAUCAAUGAGGCCCGAGAAGAGACAACCGGUCCUCUUCCCCAACAGCAACCAGAGGUACCCUAGGUAGCAGACCUCAUAGACUGGUCCUGG